GAUGAACGCUGGCGGCGUGCCUAAUACAUGCAAGUCGAGCGAACAGACGAGGAGCUUGCUCCUCUGACGUUAGCGGCGGACGGGUGAGUAACACGUGGAUAACCUACCUAUAAGACUGGGAUAACUUCGGGAAACCGGAGCUAAUACCGGAUAAUAUAUUGAACCGCAUGGUUCAAUAGUGAAAGACGGUUUUGCUGUCACUUAUAGAUGGAUCCGCGCCGCAUUAGCUAGUUGGUAAGGUAACGGCUUACCAAGGCAACGAUGCGUAGCCGGCCUGAGAGGGUGAUCGGCCACACUGGAACUGAGACACGGUCCAGACUCCUACGGGAGGCAGCAGUAGAGAAUCUUCCGCAAUGGGCGGAAGCCUGACGGAGCAACGCCGCGUGAGUGAUGAAGGUCUUCGGAUCGUAAAACUCUGUUAUUAGGGAAGAACAAAUGUGUAAGUAACUAUGCACGUCUUGACGGUACCUAAUCAGAAAGCCACGGCUAACUACGUG
rnacentral:rRNA from 1 species